AGUCGACGAACUCUGGUAUUGAUUGGUGCUUGCAUCAUGAUUUACAUUUGAGUGAGUGGCGAACUGGUGAGUAACACGUGGGAAACCUGCCCAGAAGCGGGGGAUAACACCUGGAAACAGAUGCUAAUACCGCAUAACAACUUGGACCGCAUGGUCCGAGCUUGAAAGAUGGCUUCGGCUAUCACUUUUGGAUGGUCCCGCGGCGUAUUAGCUAGAUGGUGGGGUAACGGCUCACCAUGGCAAUGAUACGUAGCCGACCUGAGAGGGUAAUCGGCCACAUUGGGACUGAGACACGGCCCAAACUCCUACGGGAGGCAGCAGUAGGGAAUCUUCCACAAUGGACGAAAGUCUGAUGGAGCAACGCCGCGUGAGUGAAGAAGGGUUUCGGCUCGUAAAACUCUGUUGUUAAAGAAGAACAUAUCUGAGAGUAACUGUUCAGGUAUUGACGGUAUUUAACCAGAAAGCCACGGCUAACUACGUGCCAGCAGCCGCGGUAAUACGUAGGUGGCAAGCGUUGUCCGGAUUUAUUGGGCGUAAAGCGAGCGCAGGCGGUUUUUUAAGUCUGAUGUGAAAGCCUUCGGCUCAACCGAAGAAGUGCAUCGGAAACUGGGAAACUUGAGUGCAGAAGAGGACAGUGGAACUCCAUGUGUAGCGGUGAAAUGCGUAGAUAUAUGGAAGAACACCAGUGGCGAAGGCGGCUGUCUGGUCUGUAACUGACGCUGAGGCUCGAAAGUAUGGGUAGCAAACAGGAUUAGAUACCCUGGUAGUCCAUACCGUAAACGAUGAAUGCUAAGUGUUGGAGGGUUUCCGCCCUUCAGUGCUGCAGCUAACGCAUUAAGCAUUCCGCCUGGGGAGUACGGCCGCAAGGCUGAAACUCAAAGGAAUUGACGGGGGCCCGCACAAGCGGUGGAGCAUGUGGUUUAAUUCGAAGCUACGCGAAGAACCUUACCAGGUCUUGACAUACUAUGCAAAUCUAAGAGAUUAGACGUUCCCUUCGGGGACAUGGAUACAGGUGGUGCAUGGUUGUCGUCAGCUCGUGUCGUGAGAUGUUGGGUUAAGUCCCGCAACGAGCGCAACCCUUAUUAUCAGUUGCCAGCAUUAAGUUGGGCACUCUGGUGAGACUGCCGGUGACAAACCGGAGGAAGGUGGGGAUGACGUCAAAUCAUCAUGCCCCUUAUGACCUGGGCUACACACGUGCUACAAUGGAUGGUACAACGAGUUGCGAACUCGCGAGAGUAAGCUAAUCUCUUAAAGCCAUUCUCAGUUCGGAUUGUAGGCUGCAACUCGCCUACAUGAAGUCGGAAUCGCUAGUAAUCGCGGAUCAGCAUGCCGCGGUGAAUACGUUCCCGGGCCUUGUACACACCGCCCGUCACACCAUGAGAGUUUGUAACACCCAAAGUCGGUGGGGUAACCUUUUAGGAACCAGCCGCCUAANGUGGGACAGAUGAUUAGGGUGAUCUANNNNNNNNGNNNNNCCAUAAAA
rnacentral:rRNA from 1 species